CGAACCUGUUUCUAAACAGAGCAUUAUCUGGAAAGAAACGAACAAAGAACGUGGAUUAAAGAAUCUUAUCGCGCCAGGCGAAUGGUUAAUCUAUUUCUUUUGAGCUACGUAACGGCAGAUAGCAUGUUAUCGCAUACGCGAAACUUCAACAUAAAAUUUACACAAAUGGAACAGAAUAGCUGAUAUUGAAUUAUUUCAAUAAUUGAGAAACUUUUGCGAACCUGAUCAUCCGCUAGGACACCGGAAACUGGAUACAUCCCACCGGAGAGUGCUUUCCCCAAAAUGAGAAUAUCCGGCCUGCAGCCUUCGUGAUCAACUGCCAGACGCAUACCAGUUCUGCUAAGACCAGUCUGUACUUCAUCGGCGAUCCAUAGAACAUUAUACUUUGUGCACAGUUCUCUCACACGUUUCAAAUAACCAUCCUAAACACAAAGCGGAAGAAUUGUACGCCGUUAGCGAAAAAAUUAUAUCACUAAUUCUGUAUAAUAUUGUAUAAUACAAAGGAAGAAUAUUCUGCGCGAGUUUCUAAGACGGCACAACGACGCCGGCUUCGCCUUGAAUGGGUUCCAUCAUGAACGCGCAGAUAUUGGGAUUCUCUUGAAACUUUUGUUCUAGAACAACGAGGUCAUUGUACGGCACUUUUUCGAAAAGGGGCACAUACGGACCAAAAUCUGUGUAACAGUUUGGAUCUGUCGAGGCAGAUAAGGCUGCUAUUGAACGGCCCCAAAAGUUUCCUGCGGCAAACACAACAGUAGCCUUGCCAUUAGGCACCUUUUUCACUCUAUAUCCCCAGCGUCUGGCCAAUUUUACGGCCGUAUCACCACCUUCGACACCUGUAAAAAGAGACUAGAUGCUCCAAAUAUUCCAUUUUUUAUAAAGAAGCUUAAAUUUGUAUCGCAAAUGGUAUUAAACACUUUUUUUUGACAAUUACCGCGAGAUACUGAAA